GUGCUGUAGAGAUUUACCUGUGGGAUCUGUUAGGAGUCUCAGCUGUGCUGUAGAGAUUUACCUGUGGGAUCUGUUAGGAAGUUACAGCUGUGCUGUAGAGAUUUACCAGUGGGAUCUGUGAGGAAGUUACAGCUGUGCUGUAGAGAUUUACCUGUGGGAUCUGUUAGGAAGUUACAGCUGUGCUGUAGAGAUUUACCUGUGGGAUCUGUUAGGAAGUCUCAGCUGUGCUGUAGAGAUUUACCUGUGGGAUUUGUUAGGGAGUUACAGCUGUGCUGUAGAGAUUUACCUGUGGGAUCUGUUAGGGAUCCUCAGCUGUGCUGUAGAGAUAUACCAGUGGGAUCUGUUAGGGAGCUACAGCUGUCCUGUAUAGGACGACAUGGGGGUUCUAAUCGGGAAGAACAGAUGUGGUAUACAGAUUUAUAUUUUGAUUCUGUUUGGGUUAUUGCAGAUGUGCUGUCCAUAUUUAAAUGGUUCUGACAGGAAUUACAGAUGUGUUGUCAGCAUUCAGAUUUGUGUCCACAGUGUGUUUCAGUUCCCUCUUGCUGUGCUCAAACUGAGCUGAGGUUUUUGUACGGGGGUGUACAUCAUCUGUAUCACUGUGUUAUUCGGCCAAGGCACCAAGCUGAUUGUCGCUGAUUCUUCUCUUGCUGCGCCUACCCUCUCUCUCCUGCCUCCAUCCAGCGAGGAGCUGAAGACAAAUAAAGCCACGGUGGUGUGCCUGGCGCAGAUGUCUGUUGGGUUCGCUGAUGUCAGCUGGACAUCCGGCGGGAAAUCAGUUACUGGCGGGGUUUUUACCGGCACCGCCGAACAGAAACCC